rnacentral:rRNA from 1 species
AUGAACUCCAUUGAUAGUUAUGCCAGAAAUUUUUUAUAUAAGGAAUUUCCUGAAUUUUAUGUAUGGCAAAGAAACCACAAAACAUGGAGACGUCGUACGCAGAGGAUUCAAAUAGGUAGACUUGUGGCUGCUCACCCUGCAGAGGGCGAGAGAUAUUACUUGAGGGUAUUGCUAAACCAUGUUAGGGUGGCUACAUCUUUUGAGGAUUUACGUACUGUUGAAGGCAUAGUUUGUUCCACUUUUAGAGAGGCUGCAGAGAGAAGGGGACUCAUUGAAGCAGACAAUAGUAUUUCUGAUUGUCUCACGGAAGCUGCAACAUUUCAAAUGCCUUAUGCACUUAGGAGGCUUUUUGCUACAGUUUUGGCCUUCUGUGAGGUAACACAUGUUCGUGCAUUGUGGGACAAGCACUUUGAAGCCAUGUCUGAUGAUUUUCGUAGGGAGAGCAUAAGUAAUGAAGCAAUUGAGCAGAGGGUGCUUAGAGAUAUUGGAGAUUUGCUAUACUCUAUGGGUAAGGACAUCCAGAGCUUUGAUCUUCCUGAUCUAAUGGAUGCCGCUGAUUUGGAAAGCUUAGAGCAGAGAGAAUUAACUGAAGAGAUGUAUAUUUUAGUUGAUAAAGAAGACUUACAAUUGUGUGAAACUUUGAACAAUGAACAACAGCUUGCUUUUGAUGACAUAAUGAACCAUGUUAUACAAAAGAAGGGUAAGGUCUUCUUC